GGCAGAUACUUGUAGUUGUCCUCAAAUUUCAUACUCUCAUUUUUCUUUAUUAAUAUAACCACACAUUUUUAACUGAGCUCAUUGAUCAUCAUAACAGAGUCUAUUGAAAGUCCUCAGCAGGCGGUGUGACGAUGUGACCAGCUCUGGCCAAGGAGCUGUAGGCAGAAGUGUCUUGCAGCAGCUCCUGUAAAUCUUAAAAGACAGCUGGUGCGUGUCUUUUUUCCUUUUUUUUUCCCUUCCCCCUUCCUGCUGCGCUGAAUAUGGAUAUGGUGAGUGAAUCUAGAGCAGCCAUUUGGAGGUAUGAAGAGAUCUUGGAAAUAGAGGCCAUGUGUGUUGAAACAAGACCGAACAACUCCAAGUUCCUGAAGACUUCAUUUCACCAACCCAGAACCUCCUUGAUCAUCACAGCCUUUGCAUGGAUGAUUGUCUGUCCUCUGUUGGGCCCCUUCUGAAGAGUUGGAGUUGGACUCUGAAUACCUCAAGAGUGGGAGAUUGGUCUUGCCAAUCAGAGAAGCUCCAGGGCUAGCCUAGUGCCUGGCACAUGCUUUAUACAAUUAUUCCCAAAUCUUCUAAACUGACAGUGAGGGAGAGUAAUUUGAAAGGACUGCUCAACUCAACGUCAUUUGAAGAUUUGCACCACAGCUGCAUUUUUCCAAUUUCCUGGCAUCUAUUCUGCUCUCCUGGACUUUUCAAAAACAAUUGUAAGUGGA
rnacentral:lncRNA from 1 species